rnacentral:rRNA from 1 species
UGCAGAAUCCCGUGAACCAUCGAGUCUUUGAACGCAAGUUGCGCCCGAAGCCUUCAGGCCGAGGGCACGUCUGCCUGGGCGUCACGC